rnacentral:rRNA from 1 species
UACGUAGGCAGCAAGCGUUGUUCGGAGUUACUGGGCGUAAAGGGUGUGUAGGCGGUUCUUUAAGUUUGGUGUGAAAUCUCCCGGCUCAACUGGGAGGGUGCGCCGAAUACUGAGGGACUAGAGUACGGGAGAGGAAAGUGGAAUUCCUGGUGUAGCGGUGAAAUGCGUAGAUAUCAAGUGGAACACCAGUGGCGAAGGCGAGUCUCUGGACAUUUCCUGACGCUGAGGCACGAAAGCCAGGGGAGCAAACGGG